rnacentral:rRNA from 1 species
GACGAACGCUGGCGGCGUGCUUAACACAUGCAAGUCGAACGGAAAGGCCCCUUUGGGGGUCCUCGAGUGGCGAACGGGUGGGUAACACGUGAGUAACCUGCCCUUGACUUCGGGAUAACUUCAGGAAACUGGGGCUAAUACCGGAUAGGAAUCCUUGCUGCAUGGUGGGGGUUGGAAAGCUUCGGCGGUUUUGGAUGGACUCGCGGCUUAUCAGCUUGUUGGUGGGGUAGUGGCUUACCAAGGCUUUGACGGGUAGCCGGCCUGAGAGGGCGACCGGCCACAUUGGGACUGAGAUACGGCCCAGACUCCUACGGGAGGCAGCAGUGGGGAAUAUUGCACAAUGGGCGGAAGCCUGAUGCAGCAACGCCGCGGGCGGGAUGACGGCCUUCGGGUUGUAAACCGCUUUCAGCAGGGGCGAAGCUUGUGGUGACGGUACCUGCAGAAGAAGCACCGGCUAACUACGUG